GGGGGCGUAAUGGUUUCGACGGGGGUAGCAUUGGCAGUAGUAGCCAGGCGAGAUCCCACCGGCUCGUUAAACGGUGGAACGGCUAUUAAGUGCCGACGAUAAUUUAGCUCUGGCUGCUUAAUUAAAAAGUAGCCCAUCCGUCUGGUCCUGGCCUGCGGGGACCAGUACCGGGUGUCAAAUCUAGCAGGCUACCGGCAAGGCCCCGGCCCGGGGGCCUGAAGGGAAUCUCAAGCGGGCUGGCCCGAGGGUAUCCGGUUUCCGGGAGACCCGACGGCGAGAUUGAAAACGGAAACUAUCCUGGUAGAAGCUACUGUGGAUGUACCUUCGGACGGGGGUUCGACUCCCCCCGCCUCCACCA
rnacentral:tmRNA from 19 species